rnacentral:rRNA from 1 species
GACGAACGCUGGCGGCGUGCUUAACACAUGCAAGUCGAACGGAAAGGCCCUGCUUUUGUGGGGUGCUCGAGUGGCGAACGGGUGAGUAACACGUGAGUAACCUGCCCUUGACUUUGGGAUAACUUCAGGAAACUGGGGCUAAUACCGGAUAGGAGCUCCUGCUGCAUGGUGGGGGUUGGAAAGUUUCGGCGGUUGGGGAUGGACUCGCGGCUUAUCAGCUUGUUGGUGGGGUAGUGGCUUACCAAGGCUUUGACGGGUAGCCGGCCUGAGAGGGUGACCGGCCACAUUGGGACUGAGAUACGGCCCAGACUCCUACGGGAGGCAGCAGUGCGGAAUAUUGCACAAUGGGCGGAAGCCUGAUGCAGCAACGCCGCGUGCGGGAUGACGGCCUUCGGGUUGUAAACCGCUUUCGCCUGUGCCGAAGCGUGAGUGACGGUAAUGGGUAAAGAAGCACCGGCUAACUACGUG